CGGGUAGUGGCGCAGCCAGGUAGCGCACCAAGCUGGGGGCUUGGGGGUCGUGGGUUCAAAUCCCGCCUACCCGACCC
rnacentral:tRNA from 2 species